GCGGGAUUAGUUGAUCGGUUCAACGUCAGCUUUCCAAGCUGAAUAGAGGAGUUCGACUCUCCUAUCCCGCU
rnacentral:tRNA from 1 species